ACCCGCUGAACUUAAGCAUAUCAAUAAGCGGAGGAAAAGAAACCAACAGGGAUUGCCUCAGUAACGGCGAGUGAAGCGGCAACAGCUCAAAUUUGAAAUCUGGCUCCUUCGGAGUCCGAGUUGUAAUUUGUAGAGGAUGCUUCGGGUGUGGCUCCGGUCUAAGUUCCUUGGAACAGGACGUCAUAGAGGGUGAGAAUCCCGUAUGUGACUGGUAGCCUAUGCUCAUGUGAAGCUCCUUCGACGAGUCGAGUUGUUUGGGAAUGCAGCUCAAAAUGGGUGGUAAAUUUCAUCUAAAGCUAAAUAUUGGCCAGAGACCGAUAGCGCACAAGUAGAGUGAUCGAAAGAUGAAAAGCACUUUGGAAAGAGAGUUAAACAGUACGUGAAAUUGUUGAAAGGGAAGCGCUUGCAACCAGACUUGCAUGUGGUUAAUCAACUGGGGUUCUCCCCGGUGCACUUGAUCAUGUUCAGGCCAGCAUCGGUUUUGGUGGUUGGAUAAAGACUCAGGGAAUGUGGCUCCUCUCGGGGAGUGUUAUAGCCCUGGGUGCAAUGCAGCCUACUGGGACCGAGGACCGCGCUUCGGCUAGGAUGCUGGCGUAAUGGUUGUAAGCGACCCGUCUUGAAACACGG
rnacentral:rRNA from 1 species